AGUGCUUCUCGGCCUUUUGGCUAAGAUCAAGUGUAGUAUCUGUUCUUAUCAGUGGUUUAGUCUUUGGCCAUUGAUGUAGGAUGGAUGCUGCAUGGAGGAGGCAAGUGUACCGGGGCGUUCCGGGGCUGGUUCUGAGGAAUCAGCUCGACGGCUGUCCUGAUGUGACCGUUUUUCGGGUCUCGCCAU